rnacentral:lncRNA from 9 species
GUGGGGAGGCCUCCGGAGGAAGCUUCAGGCAGAACUGUGAGUUUGAGAGCAAAAGCCCUGGGGGCCAAGGCUGUCCCAGGAUGCACCUGCUAAAUUCUGACCGUUUCUCAACAAUUCUUCAGAGGCUAAGAAGCACGCUGCAUGGCAGAUACUAUCUGGGAGGUGUGGUACGUGAAACCUGCAAGGGAAAUGCCUAACAAGGAGAAGCCUGGCAGCCCCAACCUGCCGAGAGGGCGAGGCUGCAUCCAGGGGAGCCACUGGCCCUGCCCCCUCUGUGCAUCUGAUGCUUCUUGAUGUUUUGGACAACUUGGGCCAAUUCCAGGGUUAGCGUCACAAAGGGUGGAAUCCUCCUCCUUGCCAACAUUUGCUAUUUGUUUAUUUUUGAUGAUAGUCAUUCCAAAAGGUAUGAGGUAAUAUCUCAUUGCGGUUCUGACUUGCAUGUCCCUGAUGAUUUGUGAUAUUAAGCAUCUUUUCAUUUGCCUGUUGGCCAUCUGCAUUUCCUCAUUGGAAAUAUGUCUAUUCAUUUCUGCCCAUUUUUAAAACAGGUUGUUUGAGGUUUUUUGCUUUUUUUUCAUGUUGGGUUGUUUCAGUUAUUUAUAUAUUUUGAAUAUUAACCCUUUGUUAGUCAUAUCAUUUGCAAAUAUUUUUCCCAUUCAGUAAGUUGUCUUUUGUUUUGUCAAUGGUUGCCUUUGCUAUACAAAAGCUUUUAAGUUUAAUUAGGUCCCAUUUAUCCAUUUUUUGCUUUUAUUUCCUCUGCAUUAGGAGAUGGGUCCAAAAAAUAUUGCUAUGAUUUAUGUCAAAGAAAGUUCUGUCUCUUUUCCUCUAGAAGUUUUACUGUUUCCAGUCUUACAUUUAGGUCUUUAAUCCAUUUUGAGUUUACUUCUGUACAUGGUGUUAGAGAAUUUCUAAUCUCAUUAUUUUAUGUGUCACUGUCCACUUUUCCCAGCAGCACUUAUUAAAGAGGCUGUCAUUGUAGAUUAAUUGACCAGAGGUGCAUGGGUAUAUUUCUGGGCUAUUCUGUUCCAUUAAUCUGUGUGUCAGUUUUUGUGCCAGUACCAUACUUUUUUGAUUACUGUAGGUUUGUAAUAUAGUCUGAGGUCAAGGAGCAUAAUUCCUCUAGCUAUGUUCUUCUUUCUCCAGAUUGUUUAGGCUCUUUAGGGUAUUUUGUGUUUCCAUACAAAUUUUAAAAUUAUUUGUUAUAGUUCCGUGAAAAAUGCCAUUGGUAUUUUGAUAGGGAUUGCACUGAAUCUGCAGAUUGCCUUGGGUAGUAUGGUCAUUUUAACAAUAUUAAUUCUUCCAAUCCACACUG